rnacentral:rRNA from 1 species
AUAGCCUAACGGCUGAACCAGCAACUUGGAGGAAUGUAUAGCAAUUGCUAUUUGCGCUAAUAUUUUAGUGUAAAAUCGACUAUGUCGCAUAAAAUUCUGGAUAGAAUUAUGAUAAUGACAUUAUCUAUUUAUAAGUCUUGACCAAAUUACGUGCCAGCAGUCGCGGUAAUACGUAGAAGACAAGUGUUAUUCAUCUUUAAUAGGUUUAAAGGGUACUUAGACGGUAAAUAAAGCCUCAAAAAGGGACUAGUUUGCUAGAGUUUUAUAUGAAGGGGUUUUAAAGUACUACUGGUGUAGAGAUGAAAUUCAGUUAUACCUUACAUGGCACAGGUUAAGGCGAAAGCAUCUUCUUAUGUAAAAACUGACGUUGAAGGACGAAGGCUUUGUGUCUCGAACAGGAUUAGAUACCCUAGUAGUCUAAGCAGAAAAUCAUGAAUGUCAUAGAUUAGAUAUAAUUUGAUCUAUAAAUGAUAGUGUAAGCAUUCCACCUCAAGAGUAAUUUGGCAACAUUGGAACUGAAAUCAUUAGACCGUUUCUGAAACCAGUAGUGAAGUAUGUUGUUUAAUUUGAUAAUCCGCAAAAAACCUUACCACAAUUUGAAUAGAUAUAUUUUAUCAUACAGGCGUUGCACGGCUGUUUUUAGUUAAUGUCGUGAGACUUUGGUUAGUUCCAUUAAAUUAACGUAAACCCUUACUUUAUUUUUAUAUAAAGUAGUUCACCGCUAGAUUGGAUGUGAUAAUAGGGAUCAAGACAAGUCAUCAUGACCUAAAUAUUGU